rnacentral:rRNA from 1 species
UUGACCUCAAAUCANGUAGGACUACCCGCUGAACUUAAGCAUAUCAAUAAGCGGAGGAAAAGAAAC